AUUGAACGCUGGCGGCAUGCCUUACACAUGCAAGUCGAACGGUAGAGGGGGCAACCCCUCGAGAGUGGCGAACGGGUGAGUAAAGCAUCGGAACGUGCCCAGUAGUGGGGGAUAGCCCGGCGAAAGCCGGAUUAAUACAGCAUGAGACCUACGGGUGAAAGGAGGGGAUCGCAAGACCUCUCGCUAUUGGAGCGGCCGAUGUCAGAUUAGGUAGUUGGUGGGGGAAAGGCCUACCAAGCCGACGAUCUGUAGCUGGUCUGAGAGGACGACCGGCCACACUGCGACUGCGACAGGGCCGAGACUCCUACGGGAGGGAGCAGUGGGGAAUUGUGGACAAGGGGGGAAAGCCUGAUCCAGCCAGGCCGCGUGCGGGAAGAAGGCCUGCGGGUUGUAAACCGCUUUUGUCAGGGAAGAAAUCCUUUGAGCUAAUACCUCGGGGGGAUGACGGUACCUGAAGAAUAAGCACCGGCUAACUACGUGCCAGCCGCCGCCGUAAGAC
rnacentral:rRNA from 1 species